UACGAAGGGUGCUAGCGUUGUUCGGAAUCACUGGGCGUAAAGCGCACGUAGGCGGCUUUGUAAGUCAGGGGUGAAAUCCCGGGGCUCAACCUCGGAACUGCCUCUGAUACUGCAAAUCUCGAGUCCGGAAGAGGUGGGUGGAAUUCCUAGUGUAGAGGUGAAAUUCGUAGAUAUUAGGAAGAACACCGGUGGCGAAGGCGGCCCACUGGGCCGGUACUGACGCUGAGGUGCGAAAGCGUGGGGAGCAAACAGG
rnacentral:rRNA from 1 species